rnacentral:rRNA from 1 species
GGCGGCAUGCCUUACACAUGCAAGUCGAACGGCAGCACGGGAGCAAUCCUGGUGGCGAGUGGCGAACGGGUGAGUAAUAUAUCGGAACGUGCCCAGUCGUGGGGGAUAACGUAGCGAAAGCUACGCUAAUACCGCAUACGAUCUAUGGAUGAAAGCGGGGGAUCGCAAGACCUCGCGCGAUUGGAGCGGCCGAUAUCAGAUUAGGUAGUUGGUGAGGUAAAGGCUCACCAAGCCGACGAUCUGUAGCUGGUCUGAGAGGACGACCAGCCACACUGGGACUGAGACACGGCCCAGACUCCUACGGGAGGCAGCAGUGGGGAAUUUUGGACAAUGGGCGCAAGCCUGAUCCAGCAAUGCCGCGUGCAGGAUGAAGGCCUUCCGCGU